CAAUAGCGUAUAUUAAAGUUGUUGCGGUUAAAAGCUCGUAGUUGGAUUUCUGCUGAGGACGACCGGUCCGCCCUCCGGGUGAGCAUCUGGUUCGGCCUUGGCAUCUUCUUGGUGAACGUAUCUGCACUUGACUGUGUGGUGCGGUACCCAGGACUUUUACUUUGAGGAAAUUAGAGUGUUUCAAGCAGGCAUACGCCUUGAAUACAUUAGCAUGGAAUAAUAAGAUAGGACCUUGGUUCUAUUUUGUUGGUUUCUAGAGCUGAGGUAAUGAUUAAUAGGGAUAGUUGGGGGCAUUCGUAUUUAACUGUCAGAGGUGAAAUUCUCAGACCAAUGGAAGACGAACCACUGCGAAAGCAUUUGCCAGGGAUGUUUUCACUGAUCAAGAACGAAAGUUAGGGGAUCGAAGACGAUCAGAUACCAU
rnacentral:rRNA from 1 species